CUUACCUAUUUAAAGCUAAUAGUGUUUCUCCCUUUCAGUCUACUGCUCAGAAACCAGCAAAAAGGAGAUUGAUUUUCUCCUCUGUAUGCUAGGCAUAGAAAGAAACAGAUCUUCUGUUUGGCGCACUCCCAAAUUCUUCAAGGAUUCUUACUGCCUCAGCAAGAUGCUUGGAGAAGUCUCUUACAUCUGCUUCCAGAGCUUCAUAUUUGAACUGGACCUUGAAGAAUGGGGAAGAUUUUGACAGAUGGCUAGCAUGCUGUAUGCAACUGUAC
rnacentral:lncRNA from 1 species